CCUACGGGUGGCAGCAGUGGGGAAUCUUCCGCAAUGGACGAAAGUCUGACGGAGCAACGCCGCGUGAACGAAGAAGGUCUUCGGAUUGUAAAGUUCUGUGAUUCGGGACGAAAGGGUUUGUGGUGAAUAAUCAUAGACAUUGACGGUACCGAAAAAGCAAGCCACGGCUAACUACGUGCCAGCAGCCGCGGUAAUACGUAGGUGGCAAGCGUUGUCCGGAAUUAUUGGGCGUAAAGCGCGCGCAGGCGGUUUCUUAAGUCCAUCUUAAAAGCGUGGGGCUCAACCCCAUGAGGGGAUGGAAACUGGGAAGCUGGAGUAUCGGAGAGGAAAGUGGAAUUCCUAGUGUAGCGGUGAAAUGCGUAGAGAUUAGGAAGAACACCGGUGGCGAAGGCGACUUUCUAGACGAAAACUGACGCUGAGGCGCGAAAGCGUGGGGAGCAAACAGGAUUAGAUACCCCAGUAGUC
rnacentral:rRNA from 1 species